CGCUCCUGACUUCCAAAUCUGGGACGUGUCAUGCCUUUUCUGGGCUCACGGUCGUUUCCUCAAGCUUCCCUCACUAGCCUCCUUAACCAUGCAUUUGACUUGAACAGGCUAAGCGCGGGACCUGAAAAUCUCCUGUCCACGCACCGGUGCGCGAACUCUUGCCCCUGAACCUGGCACUCAACCUCACCUCCUCCAAAGUGGGUUUCUUCCUUCUCACCGAGCUCAUCCUGGUGCAGCUAGUCUGGCAAAUUUUAUUCCCGAGGCAAAUUUUCCCGGGACAAACAUUUCUCCCUGCUCGCUCCUCCCCACUCCCCAUCUGCAGAGGAAGAACGGUAUUUGAGAAGUACUUCAAUUCAUGGAAGCAGCUACUUCCUUCACUUACUAGCUGGACACAGUUUGAGGAUCACUGA
rnacentral:lncRNA from 1 species